ensembl:lncRNA
CUACAUUCAGAGCUUUAUCUAUACACAGACAGGGGCUGCACAUGCAGGUGGAGAAGCCCUUUGAACACCCCCGUGACUCUGCGGUGUCAUCUAGUUAAUCUGUAAACCUAGAGGGAGUCCUCCCUUCUGUUGUACGACUGUGAUGCUUAGUAUCAGCACUGUAUUCAGGAGCAGCCCAAGAUAGGACUAGAGUGGGUAGCGGACCUCUGAUGCGACAGGAAGGAAAGCUGAAACCAGGAGUGCCGGCGGGAGAGCUGCAGGGCAGGACGCAAUGCCAUCAAGUGACUGGAGUCUCGUUAUUAGGAAAUGUGGAAAGGUUACUGAAACUGGUAAGCAGGCCACAGGAACUGAAUACUCCCAGGGAUGAGGGAGGCAUUGGUGAACACUGAACCCUUUUUCAUAGUUUGAUUUCUUUUGAUGACAGCAUCCAGUGAAGGCUUUAUAGUUUUUAAAAACCUCAAAAUGAAGGUUAGUCUGGCAAGGGAUGGCCAACCCCUCACAAAGCUAUUAACCCAUCUAAUUGGAAUUUGAUCAUGACAAUUAAAGGCACAUGUCAGUCUUUUCUUUUUAUGACCUUCAAAUAAGAUCUACGUCUGAAAGCCCUGUCUAUGACGACAAUUGAUUUCAGUUCAUUUCAGUCGCUCAGUCGUGUCCGACUCUUUGUGACCCCAUGAAUCGCAGCAUGCCAGGCCUCACUGUCCAUCACCAGUUCCCAGAGUUCACUCAGACUCAUGUCCAUUGAGUCGGUGAUGCCAUCCAGCCAUCUCAUCCUCUGUCGCCCCCUUCUCCUUCUGCCCCCAACCCCUCCCAGCAUAAGGGUCUUUUCCAAUGAGUCAACUCUUCCCAUGAGGUGGCCAAAGUACUGGAGUUCCAGCUUUAGCAUCAUUCCUUCCAAAGAAAUCCCAGGACUAAUUUCCUUCAGAAUGGACUGGUUGGAUCUCCUUGCAGUCCAUGGACUCUCAAGAGUCUUCUCCAACACCACAGUUUAAAAGCAUCACUUCUUCGGUGCUCAGCUUUCUUCACAGUCCAACUCUCACAUCCAUACAUGACCACUGGAGAAACCAUAGCCUUGACUAGACGGACCUUUGUUGGCAAAGUAAUGUCUCUGCUUUUGAAUAUGUUAUCUAGGUUGGUCAUAACUUUCCUUCCCAGGAGUAAGCGUCUUUUAAUUUCAUGGCUGCAGUCACCAUCUGCAGUGAUUUUGGAGCCCAAAAAAAAAAUAAGUCUGACACUGUUUCCACUGUUUCCCCAUCUAUUUCCCAUGAAGUGAUGGGGCCAGAUGCCAUGAUCUUCGUUUUCUGAAUGUUGAGCUUUAAGCCAAUUUUUUCACUCUCCUCUUUCACUUUCAUCAAGAGGCUUUUUAGUUCCUCUUCACUUUCUGCCAAGGCAAUGCCAAAGAAUGCUCAAACUACCACACAAUUGCACUCAUCUCACACACUAGUAAAGUAAUGCUCAAAAUUCUCCAAGCCAGGCUUUAGCAAUACGUGAACCGUGAACUUCCAGAUGUUCAAGCUGGUUUUAGAAAAGGCAGAGGAACCAAAGAUCAAAUUGCCAACAUCUGCUGGAUCAUCGAAAAAGCAAGAGAGUUCCAGAAAAACAUCUAUUUCUGCUUUAUUGACUAUUCCAAAGCCUUUGACUGUGUGGAUCACAAUAAAUUGUGGAAAAUUCUGAAAGAGAUAGGAAUACCAGACCACCUGACCUGACUCUUGAGAAACCUAUAUGCAGGUCAGGAAGCAACAGUUAGAACUGGACAUGGACUGGUUCCAAAUAGGAAAAGGAGUACGUCAAGACUGUAUAUUGUCAACCUGCUUAUUGAACUUAUAUGCAGAGUACAUCAUGAGAAACGCUGGGCUGGAAGAAGCACAAGCUGGAAUCAAGGUUGCCGGGAGAAAUAUCAAUAACCUCAGAUAUACAGACAAUUGGUUUAGAAAACAGAAAAUUGUGUGAGGGGCAUUAAAAAGAAGGUCUGGCCUUCAGUAAACCUUUUACCCUUCUUUGGAAUAAGUGUGUUACUUCGUGUUAUCUUUGCUUUUACUUUUAAAAUGAUUAUUCUCAACUUGAGGCAUAAUCUACAAGAUCUAUGCUCUUCAAAAUAUCAAUGUCAUGAAAGACAAAUAAAAGCUGAUGAAGUGUUUCAGGUCAAAAAUGGGUAGAGUGACAAAUAAAUGCAAAAAACAACCCCGGGUUUUUUUUUUUCGCUAUAAAAGACACUAAUGGAAAAAGUGGUGAGAUAUGAAUAAGGCCUGGAUAUUAGAUAACAGUCUCACAUCAAUAUUAAUUUGCUAAUUAUGAUAAUUGUGUGUGAUUCUGUAAGAUAAUAUCCUAAUUUGGGACUAUGUAGAUAUUCAUUUCAAUUAAUACUUAUCCUUGAAGUAUUUAGGGUUAAAGGUAGCAUUGUGUAUGCAACUCACCCUCCGAUAGUUCAGGAAAAGAUUACACAUACAAAGAGAGAGAAGAAUAAAGCAGUGUGAUCCAUAUCUGAGGAUCUGGUGUGAAGCUGUUUGGAAAUCAUUGUAUUAUUCUUUCCUGUAAGUUGAAAAUUAUGUCAAGUACAAAACUGAAGUAAUGAAAGAUAGCUUUUAAAUCUUAAAACAUGUUUAACAUGGUCUUAUUAACAUUAUAUAAAUAUUGCAAGGCACCACCAUAAACACUUAGGAUAGUGCUUUUCCCAAAGCUUUUUAUUUUGUAUUGGGGUAAAUCUAAUUAACAAUGUUGUCAUAGUUUCAGGUAAACAGUGAAGGGACUUAGCAUACACAGUCAUGUCUGCAUUCUCCCUCAAACACCCCUCCCAUACAGGCUGCCAUAUAGCAUUGAGCCGAGUUCCAUGUGCUAUACAGUAGGUCCUUGGCGGUUAACCAUUUUAAAUAUAACAGUGUGUACAUGUCCAUCCCAAACCCCCUCACUAUCCCUUCCCUCCAUCUUCCCCACCACCAUCCCCGCCUCAGCAACCAGAAGUUCAUUCUCUGUCAGUCUGUUUCUGUUUUGUAAAUCAUUCAUUUAAUUACUGAUAAUAUGUGUUUUCCUUUUCAUGACAUACACUAAAAUCCUAAUGAUGAAACCUGAUUUUGCAUUUAUAGUAAGAAAUGAGCUAACUAGUCUUACUAUUAUAUAUAUAUAUAUAUAUAUAUAUAUAUAUCACCAGGAGCAGCAAAUCCUGCCCGUCAUCCAACAGCAAGAAUUGUCCCCUAAGAGAGCUGAUUUACACAGCAGGAC